CCUACGGGAGGCAGCAGUAAGGAAUAUUGGACAAUGGGCGAAAGCCUGAUCCAGCCAUGCCGCGUGAAGGAUUAAGGUCCUCUGGAUUGUAAACUUCUUUUAUGUGGGACGAAAAAAGGGCAUUCUUGCUCACUUGACGGUACCAUUUGAAUAAGCACCGGCUAACUCCGUGCCAGCAGCCGCGGUAAUACGGAGGGUGCAAGCGUUAUCCGGAUUCACUGGGUUUAAAGGGUGCGUAGGCGGGUAGGUAAGUCAGUGGUGAAAUCUCGAAGCUUAACUUCGAAACUGCCAUUGAUACUAUCUAUCUUGAAUAUUGUGGAGGUUUGCGGAAUAUGUCAUGUAGCGGUGAAAUGCUUAGAUAUGACAUAGAACACCGAUUGCGAAGGCAGCAGGCUACACAUAUAUUGACGCUGAGGCACGAAAGCGUGGGGAUCAAACAGGAUUAGAUACCCUGGUAGUCCACGCCCUAAACGAUGAUACUCGACAUACGCGAUACACUGUGUGUGUGUGNGNGAAGAGAUAAGUAAUACACCGUUGGAGUACGUUCGCGAGAGAGAGACAANAGAGUUAGACGGCGNGAGAGNGCGACGGACGACGACGAGGAGUUAG
rnacentral:rRNA from 1 species